rnacentral:rRNA from 1 species
AUGGUUGACACCAACGAUGGUGCGGAGGAACACUCCGGUGUGAAUCCCAUCUCAUCUUCGGCCGAAGGGGGAACCUCGGUCUCUCGCGAGGAGUUCAAUGUGGCUUUAGACACAUUGAAAACCUCCAUGACGGCCGAGGUUAAAAGCAUGUUUAAUGAUUUCCUAGAGGGACUUAAACUAUCUACCGCGCCUAUGAAAGUGGGUGAUCCUACUAACAAGGUGAUGGAUGCUUUCUCCGACAAGGGGGAAGCUAACAAUGAAAAGAGUCCUUCUACUAGUGGUAGAAAUGGCACCGGCAUCUUUGCCCAUGUGGAACCCCCGGUUUAUGGAGGGCCUAUCCCCUCCACUCAUUUGAAUCAUGCCGGUCCACCCCCUAAAUAUGAGAAGCAUGAAGAUUUUGAUAAUUGGGUCUAUCGUUUUAAGCGUCAUUUGAAACAUGUGAACACUAACCUUUGGAGAGUCAUUGAAGAAGGUUUUUAUCCUCAUGACCCAAGCAACUUCACUCCUCGAGAAGCCGUGGACAAUCAAUUCAAUGAGAGUGCUCUCUUCAUCAUCCAAGAUGCAAUCCUUCCCGAAGAUCUCCCUCACCUUCGACCCCAUGUCGUGGCUAAAGAAGCAUGGAAAUGUGUCGAGGGUCUCUAUCGUGGAAGUGCUAGCAUUCAACGGUCCAACUAUGAAGUGGUGCAAGAUGAAGCCGAUGAGUUUGCAAUGAAAGAAGAUGAAGAACCUCGUGAGCUCUUUCGAAGAGUGACCAAACUCAGGGUGGCACUUCGAGAUCAUGGAAGCAAGGAUACGGAUGACAAUUGGAUCAAGCGGAAGUUCCUCAAGGCCAUGAUGCCCUACAACAAAGCCAUGUCCUCCGUCAUUCGUCAACGACCGGACUUCCACACCAUGACCUCAAGUGAAGUGUUGGAUGAGUUCGUGGCAAUGAGCAUCUUGGACAAGACCGCCGACAAUGCGGUGCUCCGUUCUCAAAGAGUAAAGAAGCCUAACCUUGCUUUGAAGGACAAGGUUAUUGCGGAAGAAGAGGAAGAAGUGGAAGAUGAGGAAAGCAACCCCGAAGACACCAAGUUUGACUACCAUGAGCACAUGGCCCUUGCUUCAAGACAAUUUUGGAGCAAGAAGAGCUCAAGACCCAACUUCAACAAGAACAACUCAAGUGGCGUCAAGGGCAAGCAACGAGUUAGAACUUGCUUCAACUGUGGCAAUGUGAGCCAUUUCGUUGCGGAUUGUCCUUAUGAGAAGCGGGAGGACAAUGGUGGCAAGUUCAUUCGGAAAGACAAAGCCAAGUCCCUCCCCAACAAGAACAACUUCGCCAAGAAGACUUCCACACGUGGGUUGGUGGUUCAAGAAGAAUACCAAGAGGAUGACGAUGGUGAUGAGAAUGAAGAGGCAACGGCCAUGGCAUCCAUUGCCAUUGCUACUCCCCGGGUGUCUCUCUUCGAAUCACCCAACGAAAACAUCACCGCUAGAUGCCUCAUGGCUAAGGCUUCAAACAAGGUAACCCCCAACAUCACAACCACCAUCAGUACUAAUCCCUCCGUGGAGGAUUGCAUUGAUGGACAUGUUGAGUCUAAUGUGGAAGUGAAUGAAUUUGAGUCUUUCAUGAGUAAGCUCAAGGGAAAGUCCAAGAAGCACUUUGUUGCUCUCUUGGAACAACUUGGUGAGGCCAAUGACAUGAUCGAGGCUCACGAAGAAACCAUCUCCAAGAUGGAAGGUCAUAGUCGUGACUAUGCCGAUGAGAUAUCGGAUCUCUUAAUGCUCUUGAGGAAGAGCGUGUGCAUCGUUUGA